rnacentral:lncRNA from 13 species
AUCUCGGCUCACCGCAACUUCCGCCUCCCAGGUUCAAGUGAUUCUCCUGCCUCAGCCUCCUGAGUAGUUGGGAUUACAGGCACCUGCUACCAUGCCUGGCUGAUUAUUUUUGUAUUUUUAGUAGAGAUGGGGAUUCACUACGUUGGUCAGGCUGGUCUUGAAUUCCUGACCUCAGGUGACCCACCCAUCUAGGCCUUCCAAAGUGCAGGAUUACAGGUGUGGGCCACCAUGACCAGCCUUCUGCCCCAUUCUUAAGGGAUGAAUUACCUUGCAUAUCCGUGAACUGGUUUCUUAGGAUCACUUAGUCAUCAGUUAGGAAGGCUUAGCUCCAUUGGUGGUUACACAUAAACUUUGGUAAGAAAAUUGUUUUCAUUUUCCUAAUAUCUUUCUGGUGAAUUUCUGUUAACAGUCAACCUAUCUUACUGGAGUCUAAAAAAACAAUUUCUAUCAUAUAAAUUCAUGUUUGAGUUUGCUGAUUAAGUGCUGCUGGCAGGGAAUGUGCAAGGCCGCCUAGUCCACUGCAAAUCUAGCUCAUUAUUCUCUAGAUCCCUGCACAUUUAUAUCUCUUUCUUAAGUGUCCUUACUCCAAAAGUUUUUUGUGUUACUGUUUUUUAAGUACAAUUGGGAAAUGGUUCAUUAAUACUUGGUUAUGACUUAAAACACAACUUCUUCUAGAGAUAGUAGCUAUUAAGGGCCUUGGGAAAGUCAGGAAUCUAAGGGUAGGGAGUGUGGCUGUUUUGUCUAUCAUGGUAUUCUAAGUGUCUAAGAAGAAAACUCCACCUAAUAAAUCUCAAUCAAUGUUAUGUGAAUGAAUGAACAAAUGUCCAAGUGACUCUUAGGAGAAACUCAAUCACUGUUGUACAGAUGAUUCCCCACUUACUGGAGGUUUGACUUACAAUGUUUGACUUUACAGUGGGCGACACCACCGUUGUAAACCUAGGAGUGCACUGAACUUUUGAUGGAUUUAUCUGGAUGUAACCCCAUGGGCCUCACUCUGUCACCCCGGCUACACUGCAGUGGCUUACUGAAACUUCACAUCCCAGGCUCAAGCAAUCCUCCUCCCUCAGCCUCUCAGCCUCUUCAGUAGCUACAACACAGGUCCCACAGAAUUGUAGUGAAAGGCUUUUUAUUUGGGACAAGGUUGAUGCCAUUUUCUUUCUGUGAGGUGCAAACUGACCUGGUUUGAUCCUGCUGGCAGUGUUCUAAUAUGUUUCCUCCUGAAUGCCUCAUUUUGAUUUAAAAGUUUAGGUAUGCAUCAUCUUAUUUCUUAAUUUGGUUUAGUCUAUGCUAUAAUUAUUAUUGCAAUUCUUCUACAUUGCUUUAUUAUUGCAGUUCUUUACACUGAAAUUCCUAGAGGCUAACAAGAAUUCUAGAGUUCUUUCCCCAGUUGUACAUUUAUGAAUAUUUUAAUGGAAAAAUGAGAUUAAAAAUGUAUUAUUUCUUGCUCUAUUGUUUGAAUCAAGCAGAUAUUCAAUAACAUCCUAUGCUCAUCACUGAAAGUAGAGCUAGCCGCACUGUGGCUCAGAUACUGUGUCAAAUAAGACAACUGUAAGCAUCUUUGAGGAAUCGCUCUGUGUUUAAAUGUUGAUUUCAUCUUUGCCCUAUUCAUUCACAUUCAAAGCAUAGGAUGCUUUAUAUGUUUUACUAUCAACUGUGAUUAAGUCAGUUGAAUUUUAUCCAAUCUCCUACUUAUUUUGAAACUGAGAGAGUUGAGACUAUAUCAUUGACUUUAAA